AGAUUGAACGCUGGCGGCAUGCUUUACACAUGCAAGUCGAACGGUAACAGGCCGCAAGGUGCUGACGAGUGGCGAACGGGUGAGUAAUGUAUCGGAACGUGCCCAGUCGUGGGGGAUAACGCAGCGAAAGCUGCGCUAAUACCGCAUACGAUCUAUGGAUGAAAGCGGGGGACCGUAAGGCCUCGCGCGAUUGGAGCGGCCGAUAUCAGAUUAGGUAGUUGGUGGGGUAAAGGCUCACCAAGCCAACGAUCUGUAGCUGGUCUGAGAGGACGACCAGCCACACUGGGACUGAGACACGGCCCAGACUCCUACGGGGAGCAGCGAGUGGGGUAAUUUGGAC
rnacentral:rRNA from 1 species